GUAUGGAGCCAUCCCAAUGCUUGCUUGGUAGCUAUUAAGCGUGCUUGGGCGAGAGUAGUACUAGGAUGGGUGACCUCCUGGGAAGUCUUCGUGUUGCACCCC
rnacentral:rRNA from 1 species